rnacentral:rRNA from 1 species
GAUGAACGCUGGCGGCGUGCCUAAUACAUGCAAGUCGAGCGAACAGACGAGGAGCUUUCUCCUCUGUCGUUAGCGGCGGACGGGUGAGUAACACGUGGAUAACCUACCUAUAUGACUGGGAUAUCAUCGGGAAACCGGAGCUAAUACCGGGUAAUAUAUUGAACUGCAUGGUUCACUAGUGAAAGACGGUUUUGCUGUCACUUAUAGAUGGAUCCGCGCCGCAUUAGCUAGUUGGUGAGGUAACGGCUUACCAAGGCAACGAUGCGUAGCCGACCUGAGAGGGUGAUCGGCCACACUGGAACUGAGACACGGCCCAGACUCCUACGGGAGGCAGCAGUAGGGAAUCUUCCGCAAUGGACGAAAGUCUGACGGAGCAACGCCGCGUGAGUGAAGAAGGUUUUCGGAUCGUAAAACUCUGUUAUUAGGGAAGAACAAGUGUGUAAGUAACUAAGCACGUCUUGACGGUACCUAAUCAGAAAGCCACGGCUAACUACGUG